rnacentral:rRNA from 1 species
CAGCCGCCGCGGGAAUACGUAGGGUGCAAGCGUUAAUCGGAAUUACUGGGCGUAAAGCGUGCGCAGGCGGUUUCGUAAGACAGAUGUGAAAUCCCCGGGCUUAACCUGGGAACUGCAUUUGUGACUGCGAGGCUAGAGUGUGUCAGAGGGGGGUGGAAUUCCACGUGUAGCAGUGAAAUGCGUAGAUAUGUGGAGGAACACCGAUGGCGAAGGCAGCCCCCUGGGAUAACACUGACGCUCAUGCACGAAAGCGCGGGGAGCAAACAGGAUUAGAUACCCCCGUAGUCCCUGUCUCUUAUAC